GUCCUUUCGGGGACAUCCAAUAAAAUUGGAACAAUACAGAGAAGAUUAGCAUGACCCUUACGCAAGGAUGACAACACACCCAAAUUCCAAAAAACUUU